rnacentral:rRNA from 1 species
ACCCGCUGAACUUAAGCAUAUCAAUAAGCGGAGGAAAAGAAACCAACAGGGAUUGCCCUAGUAACGGCGAGUGAAGCGGCAACAGCUCAAAUUUGAAAUCUGGCCCCGGCCCGAGUUGUAAUUUGCAGAGGAAGCUUCUGGCACGGCACCUUCCGAGUCCCCUGGAAUGGGGCGCCAUAGAGGGUGAGAGCCCCGUAUGGUCGGCUGCCUAGUCUGUGUGAAGCUCCUUCGACGAGUCGAGUAGUUUGGGAAUGCUGCUCAAAAUGGGAGGUAAAUUCCUUCUAAAGCUAAAUAUUGGCCAGAGACCGAUAGCGCACAAGUAGAGUGAUCGAAAGAUGAAAAGCACUUUGAAAAGAGGGUUAAACAGCACGUGAAAUUGUUGAAAGGGAAGCGCUUGUAACCAGACUUGCGCCGGGCUGAUCAUCCGGUGUUCUCACCGGUGCACUCUGCCCGGCUCAGGCCAGCAUCGGUUCUAGCGGGGGGAUAAAGGCCCCGGGAAUGUAGCUCCCUCGGGAGUGUUAUAGCCCGGGGCGUAAUGCCCCCGCCGGGACCGAGGACCGCGCUUCGGCAAGGAUACUGGCGUAAUGGUCAU